rnacentral:rRNA from 1 species
UUUCCCUACGGGACGCAGCAGUGAGGAAUAUUGGUCAAUGGGCGAGAGCCUGAACCAGCCAAGUCGCGUGAGGGAGUACUGCCCUAUGGGUUGUAAACCUCUUUUGUCGGGGAGCAAAAGCCGGACGUGUCCGGCUGUGAGAGUACCCGAAGAAAAAGCAUCGGCUAACUCCGUGCCAGCAGCCGCGGUAAUACGGAGGAUGCGAGCGUUCUCCGGAUUUAUUGGGUUUAAAGGGUGCGUAGGCGGAAUGCCAAGUCAGCGGUAAAAUCGCGGGGCUCAACCUCGCUCCGCCGUUGAAACUGGCG